rnacentral:rRNA from 1 species
GAAUAACGGUGCCCGUACCGCAAACCGACACAGGUAGUCAAGAUGAGAAUUCUAAGGUGAGCGAGCGAACUCUCGUUAAGGAACUCGGCAAAAUGACCCCGUAACUUCGGGAGAAGGGGUGCUCUUUGGGGUUCACGCUCUGAAGAGCCGCAGUGAAUAGGCCCAAGCGACUGUUUAUCAAAAACACAGGUCUCUGCUAAACCGUAAGGUGACGUAUAGGGGCUGACGCCUGCCCGGUGCUGGAAGGUUAAGAGGAGUGGUUAGCGCA